AGGGCUGCCAGCGAAGGGAGACGAAGGGGAAUAGGGCUCAGGAGUCUUCGGGAAGACGGGAGAAGAAACUGGGGCUCUCACCCCCAAUACAUUGUAACCUAGUAGAACGCAAACACAUAGGUUUAAAUGAAAAUUAAAUGUUUUAUACCUUGAUUACUGUGAUUUACACUUCAAUCAUAAUUUUCUGACAACUAUUUCAUAUUAUUAACAUUAUUAUACUUUUGAGUUAAGUGUGAAGUUUGCCUUGCGUGCCUCGCUGUAGUUGUGAGUGACAUGGAGCAAAUGUUUCUGUGUGCAGGUGCAAGGAAGUGAGCAGGCUGCACAUUAAGUGUUCGAUGAUAUGCUCAAAUGGGGCUUUACGUGUUGUGUUCGGGGAAUCGGCCUCGGUCGCCUUCGUUGGAGGUGCUGAAGGUGUUGGAUUCACUGCUGCUGCAGAGGCGGAAGUUGUUUGGGCCCUGGCGCCGGCGUUGUUCCGUCGGGUGUUGGUGGUCAUAUUGCUGGUUAUGGCGGCGGCAAUGUCGUGUCCGUGCCGGUUAGCAGUUUGACAUGAUUGGUGGCCAGCGGCAAGGUCGCCAAAUUGAGGGGACCUCCUGCAGCAGGGCGGGCUCCAGGUGUAGCAAGGUGGUGACCAUCUCCUUGUUGGCGGGUAGGUAGAUGGAGAUGGUCUGCCGCACGGUGGACUGCAGCAGGUUGCUGGUGUCGCUCUGAUGGGCGGCUGCAAUCGUUUUGGUUGGACCUAGCUGUGCCGCUAUGGCUGCGGCAGGGCUGGAUGUUGCCGCUGUAGGUGGUGGUGGUGUGAUUGCUGCCACUUUGUCGACAAUUGGUACGAGCUCUCUGGUCCGGAGGGGGAAAAAACGGGAGGGCCCGCGACGGGGAAAAAAAUGGCGGAACUAGGGUUCCGGGUGGCGGCGCCACCAGCCCGCCAGCCCCUUCUCCAUACUCCGCCGGUUCUGCUCCACCCCCACCCCCCCACCCCCGUGUCUACCGCACCUCGUCUGCUUCGGAGAGAGCACUCGGGCGCGGCAUCCACCGCCACCGCCGGGACGCUGGGAGUGAUGUGCCGCCGCCUGGAUUUACGGCCUCCCGACCGGAUCCGCCGUCUCCUGCCCGGAUCUGCCGCCCGAGUGAGCUCCGGGCCGACGCCGUGCCGGCGUGCUGGGGAGAGGAGGUGCAGCGGCUGCAGAGCGCCGGCGCCACUUUCUCCGCACCGCAUGAGCUCGUCUCGUCCGUCUCGGCGCCGGGGAUCGUCGGGGAUGAGCACAUCGACCCACUGGCCUCCUCUUCUUCAAGGUUCUCGCGGCCCGUCCGCCGCUGGGGUGGAACUUCCGCAGGGAACUUGAAGAGGAACUUUUUAUCGUUGGUGGGUGGUAUAUAUUGUCGUCUUGAUCUUCCGUGGGUUCCAUGGUUGGCCUCGAAGGGAUUCAAGCCGGCUGUACCUCCUCUUUCUCUGUGCUUGGGCUAGCCUGCGGGAACAUGCUGCUCUGGAUCUACUUCACUCGUGCUUUGGGAGGUUGUGGCAAGUCGUGGCGACGGUUUUUCAUCACUUGAGAGGUUGGACUCCUGUCACUUGUCAUCUGAAAUGCCGAGGGGGGCCAUGGAGUGGUGUUGCUGAACCCUAUCGUGAAGCCGGAGUCUUUGUUAUGAGCAGUUUGUAAUAGGGAUAGAUCAAUUGGCCUACACCGGUUGUCAUAUUUGAGGAGGUUUCAGUUCUAUUUAGCUGAGCCAACUCCUGUGAGUGUUUAAGUUCAGACUAUUUAUGUAUAAGACACUUGAUUUCCUUUAAAUGAAACCGGAGUGGGAGCCCUCUGUCUGUCAAAAA